CAGGUUGAUCCUGUUUCAGCAGGGGUUCAAUAUGAUAAAGAGUUUAUUGUAUGCUCUCUUGAUCUUCUCUCUGGACUUGCAGAGGGUCUUGGCAGUGGGAUAGAGAGUCUGGUAUGCCCUGUUCAUUUGCACCCCCGUUUGUCUGAAAUUCUUGAUGUUGCAGCAAAGCAACUGAACACUCCUAAACUGAAGGAAAUUGUUUCGGUAGCAAAUAAUGCAUGUUGGGCCAUUAGGGAAUUAGCAGUUAAGGUAUGUUAA